rnacentral:rRNA from 1 species
CACCUACGGGGCGCAGCAGUAGGGAAUUUUCGUCAAUGGGCGCAAGCCUGAACGAGCAAUGCCGCGUGAACGAGGAAGGUCUUCGGAUCGUAAAGUUCUGUUGAAGGGGAAAAAGAGCGGAGAGAGGAAAUGGUCUCCGAUUGAUAUUACCCUUCGAGGAAGUCACGGCUAACUACGUGCCAGCAGCCGCGGUAAUACGUAGGUGGCGAGCGUUAUCCGGAAUGAUUGGGCGUAAAGGGUGCGUAGGCGGCCUGCUAAGUCUGGGGUGAAAUGCCGGGGCUCAACCCCGGAACUGCUUUGGAAAG